rnacentral:rRNA from 1 species
UACAGAGGUCUCAAGCGUUGUUCGGAUUCAUUGGGCGUAAAGGGUGUGUAGGCGGGUCGUUAAGUGUCUUGUGAAAUCCCACCGCUCAACGGUGGAACUGCUGGGCAUACUGGCGAUCUUGAGCCACCUAGGGGCAGACGGAACAAGCGGUGGAGCGGUGAAAUGCGUAGAUAUCGCUUGGAACGCCGACGGUGAAAACAGUCUGCUGGGGGUGUGCUGACGCUGAGACACGAAAGCCAGGGGAGCGAACGGG